GAUGAACGCUAGCUACAGGCUUAACACAUGCAAGUCGAGGGGCAGCAUGAACUUAGCUUGCUAAGUUUGAUGGCGACCGGCGCACGGGUGAGUAACACGUAUCCAACCUGCCGAUGACUCGGGGAUAGCCUUUCGAAAGAAAGAUUAAUACCCGAUGGCAUAAUUCUUCCGCAUGGUAGAACUAUUAAAGAAUUUCGGUCAUCGAUGGGGAUGCGUUCCAUUAGGUUGUUGGCGGGGUAACGGCCCACCAAGCCUUCGAUGGAUAGGGGUUCUGAGAGGAAGGUCCCCCCACAUUGGAACUGAGACACGGUCCAAACUCCUACGGGAGGCAGCAGUGAGGAAUAUUGGUCAAUGGACGAGAGUCUGAACCAGCCAAGUAGCGUGAAGGAUGACUGCCCUAUGGGUUGUAAACUUCUUUUAUACGGGAAUAAAGUGAGGCACGUGUGCCUUUUUGUAUGUACCGUAUGAAUAAGGAUCGGCUAACUCCGUGCCAGCAGCCGCGG
rnacentral:rRNA from 1 species